GAUGAACGCUGGCGGCGUGCCUAAUACAUGCAAGUCGAGCGAACGGACGAGAAGCUUGCUUCUCUGAUGUUAGCGGCGGACGGGUGAGUAACACGUGGAUAACCUACCUAUAAGACUGGGAUAACUUCGGGAAACCGGAGCUAAUACCGGAUAAUAUUUUGAACCGCAUGGUUCAAAAGUGAAAGACGGUCUUGCUGUCACUUAUAGAUGGAUCCGCGCUGCAUUAGCUAGUUGGUAAGGUAACGGCUUACCAAGGCAACGAUGCAUAGCCGACCUGAGAGGGUGAUCGGCCACACUGGAACUGAGACACGGUCCAGACUCCUACGGGAGGCAGCAGUAGGGAAUCUUCCGCAAUGGGCGAAAGCCUGACGGAGCAACGCCGCGUGAGUGAUGAAGGUCUUCGGAUCGUAAAACUCUGUUAUUAGGGAAGAACAUAUGUGUAAGUAACUGUGCACAUCUUGACGGUACCUAAUCAGAAAGCCACGGCUAACUACGUGCCAGCAGCCGCGGUAAUACGUAGGUGGCAAGCGUUAUCCGGAAUUAUUGGGCGUAAAGCGCGCGUAGGCGGUUUUUUAAGUCUGAUGUGAAAGCCCACGGCUCAACCGUGGAGGGUCAUUGGAAACUGGAAAACUUGAGUGCAGAAGAGGAAAGUGGAAUUCCAUGUGUAGCGGUGAAAUGCGCAGAGAUAUGGAGGAACACCAGUGGCGAAGGCGACUUUCUGGUCUGUAACUGACGCUGAUGUGCGAAAGCGUGGGGAUCAAACAGGAUUAGAUACCCUGGUAGUCCACGCCGUAAACGAUGAGUGCUAAGUGUUAGGGGGUUUCCGCCCCUUAGUGCUGCAGCUAACGCAUUAAGCACUCCGCCUGGGGAGUACGACCGCAAGGUUGAAACUCAAAGGAAUUGACGGGGACCCGCACAAGCGGUGGAGCAUGUGGUUUAAUUCGAAGCAACGCGAAGAACCUUACCAAAUCUUGACAUCCUUUGACAACUCUAGAGAUAGAGCCUUCCCCUUCGGGGGACAAAGUGACAGGUGGUGCAUGGUUGUCGUCAGCUCGUGUCGUGAGAUGUUGGGUUAAGUCCCGCAACGAGCGCAACCCUUAAGCUUAGUUGCCAUCAUUAAGUUGGGCACUCUAAGUUGACUGCCGGUGACAAACCGGAGGAAGGUGGGGAUGACGUCAAAUCAUCAUGCCCCUUAUGAUUUGGGCUACACACGUGCUACAAUGGACAAUACAAAGGGCAGCGAAACCGCGAGGUCAAGCAAAUCCCAUAAAGUUGUUCUCAGUUCGGAUUGUAGUCUGCAACUCGACUACAUGAAGCUGGAAUCGCUAGUAAUCGUAGAUCAACAUGCUACGGUGAAUACGUUCCCGGGUCU
rnacentral:rRNA from 1 species